GACGAACGCUGGCGGCGUGCCUAAUACAUGCAAGUAGAACGCACAGUUUAUACCGUAGCUUGCUACACCAUAGACUGUGAGUUGCGAACGGGUGAGUAACGCGUAGGUAACCUGCCUGGUAGCGGGGGAUAACUAUUGGAAACGAUAGCUAAUACCGCAUAAUAUUGAUUAUUGCAUGAUAAUUAAUUGAAAGGUGCAAUUGCACCACUACCAGAUGGACCUGCGUUGUAUUAGCUAGUAGGUGAGGUAACGGCUCACCUAGGCGACGAUACAUAGCCGACCUGAGAGGGUGAUCGGCCACACUGGGACUGAGACACGGCCCAGACUCCUACGGGAGGCAGCAGUAGGGAAUCUUCGGCAAUGGACGAAAGUCUGACCGAGCAACGCCGCGUGAGUGAAGAAGGUUUUCGGAUCGUAAAGCUCUGUUGUAAGAGAAGAAUGGGUGUGAGAGUGGAAAGUUCGCACUGUGACGGUAUCUUACCAGAAAGGGACGGCUAACUACGUG
rnacentral:rRNA from 1 species